rnacentral:rRNA from 1 species
AGAAGUGCGAAUGCUGACAUAAGUAACGAUAAAGCGGGUGAAAAGCCCGCUCGCCGGAAGACCAAGGGUUCCUGUCCAACGUUAAUCGGGGCAGGGUGAGUCGACCCCUAAGGCGAGGCCGAAAGGCGUAGUCGAUGGGAAACAGGUUAAUAUUCCUGUACUUGGUGUUACUGCGAAGGGGGGACGGAGAAGGCUAUGUUGGCCGGGCGACGGUUGUCCCGGUUUAAGCGUGUAGGCUGGUUUUCCAGGCAAAUCCGGAAAAUCAAGGCUGAGGCGUGAUGACGAGGCACUACGGUGCUGAAGCAACAAAUGCCCUGCUUCCAGGAAAAGCCUCUAAGCAUCAGGUAACAUCAAAUCGUACCCCAAACCGACACAGGUGGUCAGGUAGAGAAUACCAAGGCGCUUGAGAGAACUCGGGUGAAGGAACUAGGCAAAAUGGUGCCGUAACUUCGGGAGAAGGCACGCUGAUAUGUAGGUGAAGUCCCUCGCGGAUGGAGCUGAAAUCAGUCGAAGAUACCAGCUGGCUGCAACUGUUUAUUAAAAACACAGCACUGUGCAAAC